AUGGCUUGGGUACCAAAAAUUAUGAAAUGAUUUUAUAGGUAUAACAAGCAUCCAAGGGUAUUGAAGGUGAAAAUUCUAAAAAUGGAUGCUUAGGACUUAAGAUGAAUGAAUGAUGUUGCUUGGUAAAAGCUAAACUUUUCUUACAUUAUACCAUCACUAAUUUCUGAUAUAAUUUUACUUGAAUGAUUGAUUUUGAUGCUUCAUACAUAUGCAUGUUAUCAUGAUAAAAUCUCAUUGCUUGUUUGGAUAUAUUGUUUAUUUGCAUGCUCUCUUAAUCCUAGUAUCAUAUUGAUAGAACCUCAAGUUUUAAAUCUAACCUGCUCUCAAACCCGUUAUAAAAUGAU
rnacentral:lncRNA from 1 species